rnacentral:rRNA from 1 species
AACCAGACUCCUACGGGAGGCAGCAGUGGGGAAUAUUGCACAAUGGGGGGAACCCUGAUGCAGCGACGCCGCGUGAGUGAAGAAGUAUUUCGGUAUGUAAAGCUCUAUCAGCAGGGAAGAAAAUGACGGUACCUGACUAAGAAGCCCCGGCUAACUACGUGCCAGCAGCCGCGGUAAUACGUAGGGGGCAAGCGUUAUCCGGAUUUACUGGGUGUAAAGGGAGCGUAGACGGCAGAGCAAGUCUGAAGUGAAAGCCCGCGGCCCAACCGCGGAACUGCUUUGGGAACUGUUUUGCUGGAGUAUGGGAGGGGUAAGCGGAAUUCCUGGUGUAGCGGUGAAAUGCGUAGAUAUCAGGAGGAACACCGGUGGCGAAGGCGGCUUACUGGACCAUAACUGACGUUGAGGCUCGAAAGCGUGGGGAGCGAACAGGAUUAGAUACCCUCGUAUG